GCCGGGAUGGCGGAAUUGGUAGACGCGCAGGCUUCAGGCGUCUGUGGUGGUGACACUGUGCCGGUUCGAGUCCGGCUUCCGGCACCA
rnacentral:tRNA from 1 species